GAUGUCCGGAUAGGUCGAAAGAUUGCAAAGCAACAUUCUAGAACCUAUGAUGUAUGGUUACCGUAUAAUUCAUCUCUUUGACACUAAUGCUCAAGGUGACCUAGGAUUUGAUUGUCAAUCCUAAUAUAGUCCAUCAUAUUAUAUUUCAACCUUUCAAAUCUAUCACAUAGAUUACCUUGGCCAAAAUUUUACUAAAUUGACA
rnacentral:lncRNA from 1 species